rnacentral:rRNA from 1 species
AGUGAACGCUGGCGGUAGGCCUAACACAUGCAAGUCGAACGGCAGCACAGUAAGAGCUUGCUCUUACGGGUGGCGAGUGGCGGACGGGUGAGGAAUACAUCGGAAUCUACUUUUUCGUGGGGGAUAACGUAGGGAAACUUACGCUAAUACCGCAUACGACCUACGGGUGAAAGCAGGGGAUCUUCGGACCUUGCGCGAUUGAAUGAGCCGAUGUCGGAUUAGCUAGUUGGCGGGGUAAAGGCCCACCAAGGCGACGAUCCGUAGCUGGUCUGAGAGGAUGAUCAGCCACACUGGAACUGAGACACGGUCCAGACUCCUACGGGAGGCAGCAGUGGGGAAUAUUGGACAAUUGGCGCAAGCCUGAUCCAGCCAUACCGCGUGGGUGAAGAAGGCCUUCGGGUUGUAAAGCCCUUUGUUGGGAAAGAAAAGCAGCAGGUUAAUACCCCGCUGUUCUGACGGUACCCAAAGAAUAAGCACCGGCUAACUUCGUG